UGCGAUCAUACCAGCACUAAUGCACCGGAUCCCAUCAGAACUCCGCAGUUAAGCGUGCUUGGGCGAGAGUAGUACUAGGAUGGGUGACCUCCUGGGAAGUCCUCGUGUUGCA
rnacentral:rRNA from 1 species